UAAGCCAUGCGAGUCGAGAGGGGUCAAGCCCUCGGCGGACUGCUCAGUAACACGUGGAUAACCUGCCCUAAGGUGGAGCAUAACCCCGGGAAACUGGGGAUAAUACUCCAUAGGUUAUGGAUGCUGGAAUGCUUCAUAACUCAAAGCUCCGGCGCCUUAGGAUGGAUCUGCGGUCGAUUAGGUUGUUGUUGGGGUAACGGCCCAACAAGCCUGUAAUCGAUACGGGUUGUGGGAGCAAGAGCCCGGAGAUGGAAUCUGAGACACGAUUCCAGGCCCUACGGGGCGCAGCAGGCGCGAAAACUUUACAACGCAUGGAAACUGUGAUAAGGGAACCC
rnacentral:rRNA from 1 species